rnacentral:lncRNA from 1 species
AGGGACUGGCUUGUGUUAAUUUUUUCACAUAAUUUGCAUUUCACCCUUUUACCAGCAAGGUGUGGGAGGUCUGUCCUUGCUUGUGUCACAGAACAGGGUCAUAGUGUCUGUCUUUUCUUAGAAAAACCUGUUAGAAGUGCAUAGAGUGUGUGGCUGUGCUGGUUCUGCUGGGCAGAGAUGACCAGCAGCUGGGGAGGGCUGUGGUCUGUGCUAGGGAAAGGGCCCAGCUCAGCCAUUGCAUCCCCACGGCUUCACUUUCAUGUUGCUGCAGAGUCCAUUUGCAGGAAUCCCAGUGCCAGUCUUCUUCCACACAUAAAGCAGCAGUGCCUGUCAGGGCACUGUGUGGAUCCUGAGGCUGCCAGACCUUUAACAGCUGCCUUGCUGGUCCUUGUUCAGCUGCUUGUUCCUGAUGAGAGCAAGGCUCUGGUGCAGCCCAUGAAUUCAAGAGAUACUGGCCCUCAGAGCAGAGGUGGAAAGGGAUUGGCUGCAAAGGGAAUUGCUUUUCAUGAUUGGCAUUGAACCCCAGAUCUCAAAGCCUGGGUGCGGGAGGUGAAAGGCAGAUAAUUGUGUUAAAAUCCUUCAUUGUACCCCUUUAGUACAGAGGAUGAAACCAGGUGUUUGAUUUGCACUCCCUUCACAGAGCACUUCUGGUUCUCUUGGAGGUACUCCCUUUCCCAAGCAUUGAUGCUCACAAUGCUGUGGCACAUUUUUCUCUUACUGUGAAAUGGCUGAUUUAAAAAAAAAAAAUCCUUUGCCUUUCCUUUCAAUUGUGCUAGAGUAAGUUAACUCUCUGAACAGAUAGGAAGUGAUUAAAUCUAGCCUGUCAGUCCCUGUACAGAUUAAUAUGAAGUUAUCUAUUACUUUAAUUUUUACUGCAUGCAUUAAAUAUGUCAAACAUUCCAUCAGGAAAGAUUCAAAAGCAUUUCAAGAAAGGUGUAAGGCAGGAGGGCAUUGAUGGCAGUUAAGUGACUGAUCUGUACCUCUUUUGCAGGGUGUCUUUCCCUCUUGCUUCUCCAUCCUUCGGAUGGAGUUAUGGUCCUUCUCUAGCCUCUGGGCCCAGCCAUAUGGGCCCAGAUUUCCUCUCCUUCCUCUGGGCCAGGUGUACAUGUGAGCACGCCUCUUACCUUUGCUGCUCACGCCAUCCCCUGCAGCAAAUCCCCUCUCCCCAUCCUUCCCUACCCCUGAAGCACCUGCACCAUCGCCAUGCACCACACGCUCCUUGAGGCUUUCCCUUUCUCCUCUCUCAUUUUUUAGCUGCUGGUAAAUGCUAAAUGCAGGCUGUCCUGCUCCUUGUCUUCUGCGCUUCUGGGAGACGAAUUUCUUUAGGAUAAAACCCUAUACAGAGCAAGUGGAAAGCCUUUCUAGAUGGGAUGCUGCUGCUCCAGUGUCCUGGAUGCCUUCCUGCACCCUGGGAUUUCACCAGCACUGAUUAGCUCAAGCAUGGCAAGGUUGGGGGGCAGCAUGUGUCAUUGGUGAUGGAGUGGAGCAGCUUCUGGGCAUCUGUCCCAGUUCAGUGUGCACUGCUUGGCUUAGGCAGCGGUGGGAUCAGAACACUGAGCUUCCCAGCAGUGUUCUGACAGGCAGUGGUGAUGUGUGCUGCUGAGGCACAGCCCCUGCUUUAGAGCCGUCUGUUACCAAUAAAUGUGGCUCUUACAUCAUGCAAGGGAUGCGCAGGGAGCUGCAGAUGAGCUUAAUGAAUGAAGAAAAUAAGAAACAUGAUUUAGUACCUUAUUCCAGAUGGACAUGGAGUGUGCUUCCAUGUGCUACAGGCACAGAGUUGCCCACUGGCACUACCACAGUGCCAUCCUCAGAUCCACAGCCUCAUUGCGCUCCUCUUCCCCUGGGCCACCCCACAGCUCCCUGCUCUACUUCUUCAGCUCUGGAUUUCAAGUGCUACAACCCACAAAGGAGGUCCCUUUCUGUGGCUUCAGCUUUUCUUGCUGGCUACAUUCUCACCCUAUUGAAACUAGUCUCCAUCAUGCACCCUGAUCCGUGAACUAGGAGCAGCAUCCUCUUAGCUGUGCACCUCCACAGAUGUCCUCACUGUCUCUCUGCUGCCAACCCCCCUCUCUCAUUUGCAUGGUUACCUUUUUCUCUCUCUUGUUGUCAUCAGCAGCUCUAGGUCUUCACAAUUCACAUGUUCAGAAUCUGUCCAUCCCAAUUAACCACUGGGAGGAGCUGCAUUUGCCAAGCUCAGAGUCAGAACUUCUGUUGGUGCUGUAGCAAGAGCAGUUUGAGCCCGGCAAGGCUCCUCCUACCUGUAGCUGUUAGUAUCUUGUUAAGCAAGGCCAGCCCUGGAAUGGGUUUCCCUUCUGACAGGGUGUGUGAUAUAUACCCAAGGCAUGCACAUGUUUAUAUCCAUCACUCACUCAUCCCUGGCAAGGUCCUAUUUGCUGGUGUUCACUCCAUGCAGUGGGGUUUCUGUAGUCACCUGCCAGCAAGUCAGGGAGACAGAUUUGCAGCAAACCUCUCUGAAGAGCUGACCAGUUGGCGCUGAUGCUUCUGACAGACUUUCUGCUGCGCUGCUGAUCAAGGUCCAUGAGCUGUGAGAGCAGGAUGAAAUUGUUCCUGCUGCUCUCUGCACCCCUGUCCCUUCCGUGCUGGGGGUGUCAGGCAGGGCUGGACUGAGCAGACUGGCUGCUUGCCCACACCACUUUUUCUGCUGGUGUGCAGAUGAGCAAAGCUGCAGCCCAGCCUGUGUCCCAGCUGGUCUUGUGGCACCUCUGGAAAUGCUGAUGUUUCCAAAAGUUCUGCCAGCUCUUAGUAACCUCCCAGGAAAUGGACAUGCAAUCAGAUAUACUGGUGCCCUGUUUUUGAGGUUUGCUGAUGGACACUUUUUCUCUCCAGCUCAUAAACUUUCAGCCUGACAACUGCAUUCCCAGUUAAAGGUGACUGAGAAAGCUGUGAUUCCCAGCCUUCCAUGGGUGCAGGUAGUGCCUGGGGCAGCAUGGAGCUGUGGGUGGUCAUCCAGGUUGGGCUCUCACCUUUCCACCAUCAGCAGUCAUGCCUGGGGAAGAGAGCUGAGCCCCAGCCAAGGUGUACUUGGGUCUGCAUCCUUGGGCUGUAUACCUGGACAGCCCAGGAGCAAGGUGGGGAUAGGCUCCUCCUUGACAGGGAAUGCCACUGUUGAUUUUCUUGUAGCAGUAGGUUUUUUGAGCAAACCACAAGGCUGUGAUGUCCCCAUGUCGCGUGUGUCCCCCCGUGUGUCGUAGCAUCCAUUUGGCCCAUCCUUCAGCUUGGUGGUUGUGAAAUGAAUCCAUCUGUUCUAAGAUGUUCUCAGGAGUUCUUGUUUGUAUUAAGCUCACCCCUAGGCUUAGCAGAAAUCGCAGUCCCCAUCCUCCCUGCUCCCCUCCCCGCAGACAAGCCCUCUCUCUCACGAGCACUUCCACCUUCUCCCCAAAGGGCAGCAGAGGGCAGCUGGCGGUUUUGAUUCAGGGCACGUUGGCAGCUUUGGGGCAGCCGAAGGAGCUGGGAUGCAGCUGGCCAGCAUUUGUGACAUGGGUCUGGAGGCCAGGCGGUCCCACGGGCUGUAUUGCUAGCCAAUGUUUUCUAAGUCUGUUUGUAAGAGUACCUAAUUUUAAAAUGAAAUGUGAAUAUAUAUUAUGUGUAGGUGCCAUGUAAGAUAGUGUUGUGCUAGGCAGCAGGAUGCUAACCUACUUUUUAAGCUUUUUGGGGGCAGGAAAAAGCAUUUUUCUCUCACUUCAUGCUCACAGAUCUAAUAUUGUAAAUAGGUUUUAUAAUAUUUAUUUCAUGGGCUUUCCACAGGUUCUCGUUCUGACUGGUGUGUCGGUGGGUGGGGCUGUAUUGCCCAUUCUGCCACAACCCAAGGGCUGGCGAUGGCGUGGGGGGAUGGGGCGGGGUGGGGGGUGCUGGUGGUGGUGUUCAGUUUGGGUUUGUGUCACGUCAGAGCUGAAGCAUUAACUCUUCAUCUCGUUUUGAUGAUGUCAGACCUGGUCGUUGGCCACGGUCCUCAGGGAGGCUGUGAGCUCCCAUGGCCGGCCAGGAUGGCUGUUCCCCAGGACAGGGGGCACUGCAAGCAAUAAGAUUUGUAGUAAUAAUGUCUGCUUUGAUGGCAGGGGCUCUCGGGGCUCAGGGCCAGGUGGGAAUAACCCUGCUCCCGGCAGGGGCUCAGUCCAGCAUGGCUUUGGGGUGGGUCUCUUGACCUGGAGGUACUCAGAGGAGUGUCCCCAGGGAUGCAGAAAGUGGGAGAUGCUGUUACCCCAUGGAACCCCCCCCAGAACCACUGGGGUAGGGUAGGUAGUUGCUGGUAGCAAACUCCCACUAGUGAAUUACUGCCUUUGUGGGUACAGGUGACCCAUGGGAGCACACUGCUGUCGCUGCUAGUCCUAGGGCCGGCUCCAGAAGGUCAUUUGCUCAUUUGUUAAUCAUUCUGCAAUUUUAAUUCUCCUUCUAGGAGGUUUGAGGUCAUUUGGUAAUUUUUGCUUAAGUGGGUUUAGGUUUUUAUUUUUCUUUGUUAACCCCUUUUUGCCUGGAAGUGUGGCUGGCUCUGACCUUCCAGUCCAGCUGUCUGUGUGGGGCACUGUCAGCAGGAUCUGGUUUUAUGAUGAUGGGUCUCUGACUUUGGAGGAUGGAGUGAGGGGUGCUGCUGGGUUCCAGCCCUGCAGGACCCUUCACCAGUCCCACGCUUCCUUCACCCUUGGAACAGGUGUGUAAAAAAAGAAAAACAAAAAAAAAAAA